rnacentral:rRNA from 1 species
AUUGAACGCUGGCGGCAUGCUUUACACAUGCAAGUCGAACGGUAACAGGCCGCAAGGUGCUGACGAGUGGCGAACGGGUGAGUAAUGCAUCGGAACGUGCCCAGUCGUGGGGGAUAACGCAGCGAAAGCUGCGCUAAUACCGCAUACGAUCUAUGGAUGAAAGCGGGGGACCGUAAGGCCUCGCGCGAUUGGAGCGGCCGAUGUCAGAUUAGGUAGUUGGUGGGGUAAAGGCUCACCAAGCCGACGAUCUGUAGCUGGUCUGAGAGGACGACCAGCCACACGGGGACUGAGGCACGGCCCAGACUCCUACGGGAGGCAGCAGUGGGGAAUUUUGGACAAUGGGCGCAAGCCUGAUCCAGCAAUGCCGCGUGCAGGAAGAAGGCCUUCGGGUUGUAAACUGCUUUUGUACGGAACGAAACGGCUCUGGUUAAUACCUGGGGCUAAUGACGGUACCGUAAGAAUAAGCACCGGCUAACUACGUGCCAGCCGCCGCCGAAAGAC